GUCGGGAAUUUUGCGCAAUGGACGAAAGUCUGACGCAGCAACGCCGCGUGAGGGAUGAAGGCCUUCGGGUUGUAAACCUCUUUUGUCAGGGAAGAUGAUGACGGUACCUGGCGAAUAAGUCACGGCUAACUACGUGCCAGCAGCCGCGGUAAUACGUAGGUGACAAGCGUUGUCCGGAUUUACUGGGCGUAAAGAGCGCGCAGGCGGUCGGUCAAGUCGAGUGUGAAAGCCCCCGGCUCAACUGGGGAGGGUCAUUCGAUACUGAUCGACUUGAAGGCAGGAGAGGGUAGUGGAAUUCCCGGUGUAGUGGUGAAAUGCGUAGAUAUCGGGAGGAACACCAGUGGCGAAGGCGACUACCUGGCCUGUUCUUGACGCUGAGGCGCGAAAGCUAGGGGAGCAAACGGGAUUAGAUACCCUAGUAGUCC
rnacentral:rRNA from 1 species